AACGCGAAGAACCUUACCUACCCUUGACAUGCUCGGAAUUUGCCAGAGAUGGUGAAGUGCCUUCGGGAACCGAGACACAGGUGCUGCAUGGCUGUCGUCAGCUCGUGUCGUGAGAUGUUGGGUUAAGUCCCGUAACGAGCGCAACCCUUGUCCUUAGUUGCCAACAGGUAAAGCUGGGAACUCUAAGGAGACUGCCGGUGAUAAGCCGGAGGAAGGUGGGGAUGACGUCAAGUCCUCAUGGCCCUUACGGGUAGGGCUACACACGUGUUACAAUGGGCAGUACAAAGGGAAGCGAAGCCGCGAGGUGUAGCAAAUCUUUUUAAAGCUGUUCGUAGUCCGGAUUGGAGUCUGCAACUCGACUCCAUGAAGUUGGAAUCGCUAGUAAUCGUGGAUCAGAACGCCACGGUGAAUACGUUCCCGGGCCUUGUACACACCGUACGUC
rnacentral:rRNA from 1 species